GCACCCGGCUGCGGCCCCCUCCCCCCGGCGCGGCUCCCGCCCCGCCGCAGGCCGCAGCCCAUCAUGGCGGCGCUGCACACCAAGGCCGGGGGCCCCCCCCAGAUCCCCGACACCCGCCGGGAGCUGGCCGAGCUGGUGAAGCGCAAGCAGGAGCUGGCGGAGACCCUAGCGAAUUUGGAGAGGCAGAUCUAUGCUUUUGAGGGCAGCUACUUAGAAGACACCCAGAUGUACGGCAACAUCAUCCGUGGCUGGGACCGCUACCUGACAAACCAGAAAAACUCGAACAGCAAAAAUGACCGAAGGAACCGGAAAUUUAAAGAAGCUGAACGACUCUUCAGCAAAUCUUCGGUCACCUCCGCAGCAGUGAGUACGGCGCUUGUGGCCUGGCAGCAUGCAACGCCAACUCAAGUCCUGAGCUUCCUGGGCAGAACUGCCUGGCCUUUGCCCAUGAACAUCGGGGAGGACAAAUCUGAGCUGAACAGAUCCUAUAUUGCAGUCAGUGCAUUGGCCGGAGUUCAGGACCAGCUCAUUGAAAAGCAGGAGCCAGGUAGUGGCACAGAGAGUGAUGCUUCUCCAGACUUUCACAAUCAGGAGAAUGAGCCCAGCCAGGAGGAUACUGAAGAGCUGGAUGGGACUGUGCAGGGAGUGAAACCCCAGAAAGCCGCUUCUUCCACCUCCUCGGGGAGUCACCACAGCAGCCACAAAAAACGGAAGAACAAAAAUCGACACAGGUAUGUAUAUUAGGUUAGGCUGGGAAGUUUUUUUAAAAAACAGAAAAACAUGAUGGAGGAUUGAUCUCAAGUUAAACAAAAAGCCACGAGCUGACUACUAGACUCAUCGGUGCCGAAGCUUCCCGGAUCUAGGCCCCCACGUUGAGUCCACACUAAGAAAAACAUCAGUCGACUGAAUGAGCACAAUGGGCAGCUCUCCCACCGAGUGUCUGCACAUAGGAGUAGUUCACUCAAAAGUACUAAAGUGUGUGUGUGUUUGGGGGGGGUCGGGGGGGGGAUAGUCUUGUUUGGCUACAUUGGACCAUGUACUUUGUGUCAUUUUAAAAUCACCUGAAAUGCAGGAGGACUAAGCUGUGGUGUCACCGAUCUCUGGUUCCCGAGUGCGACAUUCUUCCCCCACAGCUGGCAACACACACCCUGCAAUCGGCUGGUUUUGCUGCUGCCAUCACCAUUGUCUGUAAUAACCAUUGAGAGAUGUCGUUGUUCCAUUUUAUACCGGAAUGGGGGCGUGGCUCUGUGUGUCCCAUGCAGGUUGUAAAUCUGUUAGGUUAUUUUUUUAAUGCUGAUAUUUAGUUUGUUUUUUUUUAAACCAAACUAUACAGUUGACAAAUUGGCUUUUGAUUUUUCCUUCUUAAAUCUGAUUAGGCUGUUCAUUUUUCAGAAUGAUCCACUUGAAUUCUUACCUUAGUAAAGAAGAAAGUGGCUCACCCCUUUCCUUCAUCUUUGAUUUUAACACUUCCCCUCCGUUUUUUUCGGGGCACUGAGCUACAGGGAGUGGUUGGACCUCGAAGCCAUCUUGCUCCUAAAGGUUGGGUGGAUUCUCUUUUUAAUACAAACAUCUGUCAUUUGUAUAUAAAACAAUAAAAGUCACGUUUGUCUCUCUU